rnacentral:rRNA from 1 species
GAUGAACGCUAGCGGCAGGCCUAAUACAUGCAAGUCGAACGGAGCAGCAAUGCUUAGUGGCGCACGGGUGCGUAACGCGUAUGAAACCUGCCCUUCACUGGGGGAUAACCUCUCGAAAGAGAGGCUAAUACCGCAUAAGAUAGUAGAACGGCAUCGUUCAGCUCUUAAAACUCCGGUGGUGAAGGAUGGUCAUGCGUCCAAUUAGUUAGUUGGUAGGGUAACGGCCUACCAAGACGAUGAUUGGUAGGGGGUCUGAGAGGAUGAUCCCCCACACUGGUACUGAGAUACGGACCAGACUCCUACGGGAGGCAGCAGUAGGGAAUAUUGGUCAAUGGAGGCAACUCUGAACCAGCCAUGCCGCGUGCAGGAAGAAGGCCCUCUGGGU